GCCGGUAUGUUGGAACUGGCAGACGAGGCGGACUCAAAAUCCGCUGCUAGCAAUAGCGUGUGGGUUCGACCCCCACUACCGGCACCA
rnacentral:tRNA from 1 species